GAGCCCGGAGCCCGGAGGGCCCUGCCCGGGGCGAUAGGGAGGGGAUUGAUUACCCAUUUGGGCUGCCGCUUACCAGCUGGCCCUGGAGGUUCACACCACUCUGGGGUAGGGGGCCUGCUGCUCCCGAAGACGAAGGUAGGCAGCCUGGGAAGGGAUAGGACACGGACCAGAAAGGUGAUUGGAGCCUGGCUGUAUCUCAGGAGCCAGAAAACCAAAUCCAGGCCUGCCCAGCUGGGGACCGGCAGGACCCACUCAGCCAACACCACUGGACUGUCAAAGACUUUGCACAGCCUCCAGUGGACUUUGAAACUAAAUUUGAUUGUUACCUCCAUUUAGACAAUAAACUCUUAGCUGAAAAAACCCUACUUUUGAGAGUAUGCUGGUUUCAGUGGCUGGGGUGGGAUCUCAAAGAACGUCUGAUGGGCACCGUGUCUGAAGGGGCUUCGUCCAUCACUUACUUCCAGGCAACUUCGGAUCAGCUCUUCAUCUCCCUCUGCUUUAAAUGGUAGUGGCACUGCUGUCGCCUUGUAGGGAGCCAUGAGGACCUCAGGAAGUGACUGGUGUAGCUCCCCUGGCCCAUGCCUGGGGACCAGUAAGUGCUGCAUAAAGUG
rnacentral:lncRNA from 1 species